UCUGGCUGGAGAACCAGACUGUGCUUAUUGACCAUAUCUGGGCAGUCAGGCAGUCUCAUACUUGGCAAUAUUGCCUGCCCAGCUCCGAAGGUUAGUGGCGGAUUGACCCGUAAAGGGCGAGUCUGACCUAAGUGGGCGUGGUUAUCCCUAAAAUGUUUAGGCAGACAAUGCGUGUGCAACAGCAGAUGCGCUCCAUGCAUGGCCCUAGU